UUAAGCGACCAAGCGUACACGGUGGAUGCCCUGGCAGUCAGAGGCGAUGAAGGACGUGCUAAUCUGCGAUAAGCGCCGGUAAGGUGAUAUGAACCGUUAUAACCGGCGAUUUCCGAAUGGGGAAACCCAGUGUGAUUCGUCACACUAUCAUUAACUGAAUCCAUAGGUUAAUGAGGCGAACCGGGGGAACUGAAACAUCUAAGUACCCCGAGGAAAAGAAAUCAACCGAGAUUCCCCCAGUAGCGGCGAGCGAACGGGGAGGAGCCCAGAGCCUGAAUCAGCAUGUGUGUUAGUGGAAGCGUCUGGAAAGGCGCGCGAUACAGGGUGACAGCCCCGUACACAAAAGCGCACAUGUUGUGAGCUCGAUGAGUAGGGCGGGACACGUGGUAUCCUGUCUGAAUAUGGGGGGACCAUCCUCCAAGGCUAAAUACUCCUGACUGACCGAUAGUGAACCAGUACCGUGAGGGAAAGGCGAAAAGAACCCCGGCGAGGGGAGUGAAACAGAACCUGAAACCGUGUACGUACAAGCAGUGGGAGCCCCACCACUAAGCCAGUGGUGAACUCCACAUACGCAUCCUUUGCGGAAGGUGCGGUUAACGGAGCGAAAGCGACGUUCAACCUCAAAAAAAGCAGAGGGGGCUUAGUGGUGGGGUGACUGCGUACCUUUUGUAUAAUGGGUCAGCGACUUAUAUUCUGUAGCAAGGUUAACCGCAUAGGGGAGCCGAAGGGAAACCGAGUCUUAAUUGGGCGUUAAGUUGCAGGGUAUAGACCCGAAACCCGGUGAUCUAGCCAUGGGCAGGUUGAAGGUUGGGUAACACUAACUGGAGGACCGAACCGACUAAUGUUGAAAAAUUAGCGGAUGACCUGUGGCUGGGGGUGAAAGGCCAAUCAAACCGGGAGAUAGCUGGUUCUCCCCGAAAGCUAUUUAGGUAGCGCCUCGUGAAUUCAUCUCCGGGGGUAGAGCACUGUUUCGGCUAGGGGGCCAUCCCGGCUUACCAACCCGAUGCAAACUGCGAAUACCGGAGAAUGUUAUCACGGGAGACACACGGCGGGUGCUAACGUCCGUCGUGAAGAGGGAAACAACCCAGACCGCCAGCUAAGGUCCCAAAGUCAUGGUUAAGUGGGAAACGAUGUGGGAAGGCCCAGACAGCCAGGAUGUUGGCUUAGAAGCAGCCAUCAUUUAAAGAAAGCGUAAUAGCUCACUGGUCGAGUCGGCCUGCGCGGAAGAUGUAACGGGGCUAAACCAUGCACCGAAGCUGCGGCAGCGACACUAUGUGUUGUUGGGUAGGGGAGCGUUCUGUAAGCCGUUGAAGGUGGCCUGUGAGGGUUGCUGGAGGUAUCAGAAGUGCGAAUGCUGACAUAAGUAACGAUAAAGCGGGUGAAAAGCCCGCUCGCCGGAAGACCAAGGGUUCCUGUCCAACGUUAAUCGGGGCAGGGUGAGUCGACCCCUAAGGCGAGGCCGAAAGGCGUAGUCGAUGGGAAACGGGUUAAUAUUCCCGUACUUGGUGUUACUGCGAAGGGGGGACGGAGAAGGCUAUGUUGGCCGGGCGACGGUUGUCCCGGUUUAAGCGUGUAGGCUGACUUUCCAGGCAAAUCCGGAGAGUCAAGGCUGAGGCGUGACGACGAGGCACCACGGUGCUGAAGCAACAAAUGCCCUGCUUCCAGGAAAAGCCUCUAAGCAUCAGGUAACACCAAAUCGUACCCCAAACCGACACAGGUGGUCAGGUAGAGAAUACCAAGGCGCUUGAGAGAACUCGGGUGAAGGAACUAGGCAAAAUGGUGCCGUAACUUCGGGAGAAGGCACGCUGACACGUAGGUGAAGUGGUUUACCCAUGGAGCUGAAGUCAGUCGAAGAUACCAGCUGGCUGCAACUGUUUAUUAAAAACACAGCACUGUGCAAACACGAAAGUGGACGUAUACGGUGUGACGCCUGCCCGGUGCCGGAAGGUUAAUUGAUGGGGUCAGCGCAAGCGAAGCUCCUGAUCGAAGCCCCGGUAAACGGCGGCCGUAACUAUAACGGUCCUAAGGUAGCGAAAUUCCUUGUCGGGUAAGUUCCGACCUGCACGAAUGGCGUAAUGAUGGCCAGGCUGUCUCCACCCGAGACUCAGUGAAAUUGAACUCGCUGUGAAGAUGCAGUGUACCCGCGGCAAGACGGAAAGACCCCGUGAACCUUUACUAUAGCUUGACACUGAACAUUGAGCCUUGAUGUGUAGGAUAGGUGGGAGGCUUUGAAGCGUGGACGCCAGUCUGCGUGGAGCCGACCUUGAAAUACCACCCUUUAAUGUUUGAUGUUCUAACGUGGACCCGUGAUCCGGGUUGCGGACAGUGUCUGGUGGGUAGUUUGACUGGGGCGGUCUCCUCCUAAAGAGUAACGGAGGAGCACGAAGGUUGGCUAAUCCUGGUCGGACAUCAGGAGGUUAGUGCAAUGGCAUAAGCCAGCUUGACUGCGAGCGUGACGGCGCGAGCAGGUGCGAAAGCAGGUCAUAGUGAUCCGGUGGUUCUGAAUGGAAGGGCCAUCGCUCAACGGAUAAAAGGUACUCCGGGGAUAACAGGCUGAUACCGCCCAAGAGUUCAUAUCGACGGCGGUGUUUGGCACCUCGAUGUCGGCUCAUCACAUCCUGGGGCUGAAGUAGGUCCCAAGGGUAUGGCUGUUCGCCAUUUAAAGUGGUACGCGAGCUGGGUUUAGAACGUCGUGAGACAGUUCGGUCCCUAUCUGCCGUGGGCGCUGGAGAAUUGAGGGGGGCUGCUCCUAGUACGAGAGGACCGGAGUGGACGCAUCACUGGUGUUCGGGUUGUCAUGCCAAUGGCACUGCCCGGUAGCUAAAUGCGGAAGAGAUAAGUGCUGAAAGCAUCUAAGCACGAAACUUGCCCCGAGAUGAGUUCUCCCUGAGACUAUAAGUCUCCUGAAGGAACGUUAAAGACGAUGACGUUGAUAGGCCGGGUGUGUAAGCGCAGCGAUGCGUUGAGCUAACCGGUACUAAUGAACCGUGAGGCUUAACCUU
rnacentral:rRNA from 1 species